rnacentral:rRNA from 1 species
UAAAACGUAGGAGGCAAGCGUUAUCCGGAGUUACUGGGCGUAAAGCGCAUGUAGGCGGUUGUCCAAGUGGCGUGUGAAAGCGCCCGGCUAAACUGGGCGAGGACACGUCAGACUGGAUGGCUAGAGGGGGCUAGAGGGGCGCAGAAUUCGGGGUGUAGCGGUGAAAUGUGUAGAGAUCCCGAGGAAUACCAGUGGUGAAGACGGCGCCCUGGGGCCUUACUGACGCUGAGAUGCGAAAGCGUGGGGAGCGAACGGGAUUAGAGACCCCGGUAGUCCACGCCGUAAACGAUGCGAACUAGGUGCUCACUACCUUCGGGUAGGGUGUGCCGAAGCUAACGCGCUAAGUUCGCCGCCUGGGGAGUACGGUCGCAAGGCUA